rnacentral:lncRNA from 1 species
GAUAAAAUAUUUCCACUUGAGUUAUCUUUCCAUUGGUUCAAAGAUCAGGUUCAUUGGAUCUCUAUAACUCCAGAUAUGACAAAAACAAUAAGUGCUGCUUCACAGGUAAAGCUGUAUCCGGCAGGUAACAGGCUGGACUUUACACGGUAAUUUUGGCUGCCUUGUGAUACGAAUUUGACUUCUUCUAAAACAUGAAAGUUGUAGAAACGUGCCUUAUCUUUCCAACCCAACUUGAAUCACCUCUAUCCAAUGUCUGUAGCUCAAGUUAUGAUUAUUUUACCAACAGCUGCUUCUUGCUUGAGGCAGUCACUAUUUUUGACUUUUCAACAUUAUUUUCCUCCACUUGCUCCACUUGUAAUAAAUUGAAAAUACAUGUGAAAUACAUCAAAUAGAUACUCUUUCAAAUGUAUAAUACUCAUGCCACCAUGUAUGUAAAUACGUAUUUCAAUUAAUUGCAUUUUUAACCAUGUAUUUAUGGAAAUUGAAUUUACGGCAUGAGAAUUGGAAUUAGAGACUAACAUUAGCGUUUUUAAACAAAGUGAAUGUAAAAUGCCUUGUAAAUGAUAUAUCUUUGAAACACUUUUAGACACUAAUCA